CGAACCGCAAAUUAGUUCUAAUUUCAAUACUAAUGUAAACUUUUUGUUCCGGUUCGAGAUCUCUCCUCCAAAACUUUUGUCUGAUUUCUUCAAUCAAAAGCUCUCUCCGACAAACUGCAAAUUCUUCUCCAGAAUCUGUGGCGGAUUCCCAUAUCGGCUAUUCGAUUCCAAAUCGAGACUCCUUCAAGACUCAACAAUUGUUGUCAACUGUCUUCUUCUCUGUCUCUACCCACCUCAAGCUCCCUGUUAUCUACAUUCUUAUGAAUGUGUCUCCUCGCCUUCCACCUCCUGAUAUUGUGUUUCUUAUUUCGAUAGUUUACUCUCUCUUCUAUCUAAUUAAUUUUUAUUCUUUUCUUUAUCAUACCAAUCAACC